rnacentral:lncRNA from 1 species
GACAUUCAGUAAGCUCUCGAGUGGUGAAUCUGUGUACUGAGAGUUCCGGACUGAAUGCUAAAGUGUGACCGAUAAUGAAAGCCCUUAUGCAUUAAAAGGGUGGAAAGAUGCAAGUUACAACGAAAACCUGUUGUACUUUUAGUACUUCAGUAAAGGGCCGUCCCUAGUAGACCACUAAAAAUCAUUAAAAGGCCAUGGUUUCCAUGGACCUUAUUUUUCCUUUUAGGGGAAAGAGGCACUAACAGGUGGCACCAAAAGCCAAGGGAAACAGGCCCAAAGCCUUUCAGAUGUUCACGUGGUACAUACUGUCAGAUCCUGUCCUCUAGGUGAUGUCCUUCAAAGCUUUCUGACUGAGUCUCCAAGCUUAGCUGUAAUACAGCAAAGUCGUAACCUGGGAUGCUCAGAUGGGCCUGGCGUCACCACAUAAGCAGUGUCAAAGCCUCACGCUACGCGUAUGUAGGCUUGCCCACCUGAAGAAUUGUCUAACUGUGUUGUGGGUGGGGGUGGGGGUGCUGCAGCCUAUGUUGCGACGGGACUUGGCUGAUGAUACAUGGUACGCGCACAGUGAGUUGAAUGAGGUGCGAUUACCGAUGGAAUGAUUACAAGGAGCAAAGCGAACUGAUGAGUUGUGCUCGUGUAAUAAACUUCACACUAUAAAAACGUUCGUCGUCUUGUACCUGGUUUGUGCCUUGGUGGCCGAAAGGCCGACUUCUUCGCCUGGUUUGCCUGGAAUGUAUUCGGGUAAUCCUGGGAUGCGUUCACAAAAGCCUGAGCCUUGUUGUCCGAAAAGACAAACACGGCAAAACAAGCAACAUAAACCUUUGCGUCCGGUAGCGUCUUCCAAACUUGUCCACCACGCGACCUGCAGGAUGCACAGCGGAGGUUCUGACCAGCUAUAGCCGAACGUUUGGGUGUACUACUUAUGAAGCAACCACACCCAAUUGUGCAACCUCCUCCCUCCGUUUCCAAAGCGCCCACAAAGCGGCCCAUGACGCUAAUGCAACCAUUGACAACAUGUAGCUGUAGAGGCCAGCCGUUGGGGACCGUUGAAAGUACCAGCACCGUUUGCGGGGCAAGCAACUUAACCUAAUGUACCCGAAAGCCCAGUUUCAACAUGUGCAUGUAAAGCUAUUAGCGAUCCUGAGUCUUCCCUCGAGUGCAGAUAGGCACUCAAGAGGCACAACACUGCAAAAGCUUCACUACCCAUUUUUCCACCCUUUUAAUGCAUAAGGGCUUUUACUGUCGGUCACACUCGGACAUUCCGUCCGGAACUGUCAGUACACAAAUUUACUACCCGAGAGCUCUCACCCCUUGCUGACUGUCAACCAUAUCGCUGUUGGGCCACACUUGUGCAGGCCCCGCAUAUUCAGAACAUAAAACAACUUUGGUAACCUAGGGCAACGUUUAUCCCUGAUCAAAUCCAGUCAAGAAGACACCGACUGUACGACCGAUGUAACCCUUGUACUAUUGUACGACAAGGUAAAAGGAAAGUCUAUAUACGCACAAACACAGAUCUGUUU